rnacentral:lncRNA from 1 species
GUUUUACUAGAUCCUUGACAUAUAGGAAUGGGUUCUUUCAUUUACAAUCUUUGCCCUUUUUUAAAGUCAGCAUUCAUUUCAAUAAACUUCCCUGUUGGUACUCUUCUGCUAUGUCCCAUAGGUACUAGAACAAUACAUUUCUUUUUGUAUUUGUUUCCAAAAUUCUUUUUAAAUGUUCUUAAUUCCUUUUUUCUAUCUAUUGAUUACAGAUAUAAACAGUUUUAUUUCCAUAUACUUGGGGAUUUCUAGUUGUCCUUGGAAUUGAUUUUUAGUAUCAUUUCAUUUUGGUCAGAAAAAAAAUACUCAAUAUAAUUUCCAUUUUCAGACAAUUUGUUGAGACUUUUUUGGUGGUCUAAUGUAUGAUCUUCCUUGGAGAAUAUUCUAUGUACUAUUGAGAAAAAUCUGUAUUCUGCAGCUGUUCAAGGGAAUGAUCUGUAGAUGUCUGUUGGGUACCUUUAGUCUAGGGUGAAUUUUAAUUCUGUGCUUUCUUUGUUAAUUUUCCAUCUGUCCUUUGCUGAGAGGAGGGUGUUAAAAUUUCUUACUGUUAUUGCACUGAAGGUUAGCUCUCCCUUUAGUUCUAUUAAUAUUUGCUUUAUAUAUUUGGGUGCUUCACUCUUGAGUGCAAACAUAUUUAUAGUUAUUUUCUCCUACUGAAUUGACCCCCGUAUCACCCUGUAAUGACUUUCCUGUCUUCUUUCAUGUCUUUUGAUGUAAAGUGUAUUUUAUCUGAUAUAAUUAAGCCUGAUUCUUCUCUCUUUUGGAUUCCAUUUAUAUAGAGCAUCGUAUUCCUUCUCUUCAUUUUCAGUCUAUGUGUGACCUUAGUGUUGAGGUGAUUUUCUUGUAGUCAGUCUUUAGAUGCUCUUAUUCAUUCAUUUAUUUUUGUUUUAGUUAGUCGGUCUUUGGAGACUAAAUUGGAG